rnacentral:rRNA from 1 species
AGGGAUCAUUACCAAUGGAAAGGGCUCCCGGCCCGACCUCCAACCCUUUGUGAUUACCACUUUGUUGCCUCGGAGGCGACCCGGCCUCCGUGCCGGGGCCUCCGGUGGACCACUUUUCAACUCGCAUCUUUGCGUCAGUUGCAUUGAUAAAUUCAAUCAAAACUUUCAACAACGGAUCUCUUGGUUCUCGCAUCGAUGAAGAACGCAGCGAAAUGCGAUAAGUAAUGUGAAUUGCAGAAUUCAGUGAAUCAUCGAGUUUUUGAACGCACACUGCGCCCCUUGGUAUUCCGGGGGGCAUGCCCGUUCGAGCGUCAUGUCAACAAUCCAGCCUCGCUGGGUGUUGGGUCACGGGGGCGACCUGGACCCUAAUAUCUCCGGCUACACAGUCCUGAUCUNAGCGUCGUGGCACACCAAUUCGCUACCGAGACGGACGGUUUACGCCGUUAAAUCUACAUACAAGUUUGACCUCGGAUCGGGUAGGGAUACCCGCUGAACUUAAGCAUAUCAAUAAGCGGAGGAGAAGAAACCAACAGGGAUCGCCCUAGUAACGGCGAGUGAAGCGGCGAAAGCUCAAAUUUGAAAGCUGGCCUCGGCCCGCAUUGUAAUUUGUAGAGGAUGCUUCUGGGCAGCGGCCGGUCUAAGUUUCUUGGAACAGGACGUCAUAGAGGGUGAGAAUCCCGUAUGCGACCGGCUGGCACCCUCCACGUAGCUCCUUCGACGAGUCGAGUUGUUUGGGAAUGCAGCUCUAAAUGGGAGGUAAAUUUCUUCUAAAGCUAAAUACCGGCGAGAGACCGAUAGCGCACAAGUAGAGUGAUCGAAAGAUGAAAAGCACUUUGGAAAGAGAGUUAAAAAGCACGUGAAAUUGUUGAAAGGGAAGCGCUUGCCCCCAGACUUGUCGGCGGUGUUCCGCCGGGCUUCUGCCCGGUUCACUCGCCGCCGUCAGGCCCGCACCGUCUGGGACCGCGGGAGAAAGGCGUUGGGAAUGUAGCUCCUCGGAGUGUUAUAGCCCAUCGCGCAAUACCGCGCGCCCCGGGCGAGGUCCGCGC